CAAAAUGUAGCUUACACAAAGCACCUGGCUUACACCCAGGAGAUAUUACACUAGUAAUCAUUUUGAA
rnacentral:tRNA from 1 species